UACGAAGGGUGCAAGCGUUGUUCGGAAUUACUGGGCGUAAAGGGCGCGUAGGCGGAUAAGUUAGUCAGGAGUGAAAUCCCGGGGCUCAACCUCGGAACUGCUUUUGAAACGGCUUAUCUUGAGUGUGACAGGGGAUGAUGGAAUACCCAGUGUAGAGGUGAAAUUCGUAGAUAUUGGGUAGAACACCAGAGGCGAAGGCGGUCAUCUGGGUCAUUACUGACGCUGAGGCGCGAAAGCGUGGGGAU
rnacentral:rRNA from 1 species